rnacentral:lncRNA from 1 species
UGCAGUUCCUCAUCAGAAGGAAGUACUUCAUCAAUUACGUCCUCUUCAUAUUCAUCAAUUUCUUCCCCAUCAUACUCAUCUUCGCUUCCCACAUCACUUCCUGACACCUCUGCCUCAUCCUCCAGAUCGCUUCAGGAGUUCUUCUUCAUCAUCAUCUUCAUGGUCUUCCAGUGCCAGAUCAUUACCAGAGUCACUGUGUUCAUCCUACAAAAUCAGCAUCAUAUCCAAAUUAAGCAGAAUAAAAUGCGUCCUCAAUGAAAAAAGGAUUUAUAAACAUCUGCCCAAAUACCUCAUUCUAGGAAAUUGUUUCUGAUAAGAUGCCAAACUUAGAAUUCUCAAGAACUGAGGGGAAAAAAACACUUGAGGGCAGCAAUACAUGGAGCUCAGUUAUGAUUACUUUGUUCCCUUCAUACUCACCUCAUCACUAUCAAACUCAUUAUCAUUUGAAACAAGCCGAAAGUCUCCAAAUUCCUCCUCCUCGUCUUCCUCUUCCCUAAAAUGUAAAUCAAUGAAUCAAUAAAUAAGUUGUUGAAAGCAAA